UACGUAGGGGGCAAGCGUUGUCCGGAUUUAUUGGGCGUAAAGAGCGUGUAGGCGGCCUGGAAGGUCAGCUGUGAAAACUCGAGGCUCAACCUCGAGACGUCGGUUGAAACCACCUGGCUAGAGUCCGGAAGAGGAGAGUGGAAUUCCCGGUGUAGCGGUGAAAUGCGCAGAUAUCAGGAGGAACACCAAUUGCGAAGGCAGCUCGCUGGGACGUAACUGACGCUGAGGAGCGAAAGCGUGGGGAGCGAACAGG
rnacentral:rRNA from 1 species